rnacentral:other from 1 species
UCAGUCCUGCAUUGUUCGUUAGCCCUAUAUGUUUUUAACCGUACUUUUUUACCGGGAUUCCUACAUUUAUUGAUGGAUGCCAUGCCUGCUUGCUCAGGACGGCAGAAAUCGGUAUGCGGAAACCCACCUGCUUAUGGCGGGUUCAUAAAACAUCCUGGGAGAACGGCAUAGGUGGGAUUGAU